rfam:Schistosoma rodhaini strain Burundi genome assembly, scaffold: SROB_scaffold0009787
AUCCAGUUGAUGAGUCAGAAAUAAGACGAAACGCGCGUCCUGGAU